GCAGAGUUCACCAUAGGAUCUCGGGGUCAGCUUUUCUUUUUCUCAACAAUAACUUAAGAAACCAUCUAGAAAUAAAAUAUACUUUAAUUAUUCCCGCUAACAUCCUACUGUGUCUGCUUGUCUGCUUUCCAUGCUCUUUCCUGGGAGUAAUGAGAUCCACAAGCAGAAGAGUAACCAGAAAGGAUCAAAUGUCUUCGUGUUGUUUCAUUUUCUGUUAGGUGGGAAACUUUCAGCGACAACUGGCAGAAGCUAAAGAAGACAACUGCAAAGUCACAAUUAUGUUGGAGAAUGUGCUGGCUUCUCACAGUAAGAUGCAAGGUGCUCUGGAGAAAGUACAAAUAGAGCUUGGGCGGAGGGAUUCAGAGAUUGCAGGCCUCAAGAAAGAAAGGGAUCUCAAUCAACAGAGGGUGCAGAAGCUGGAAGCUGAAGUGGACCAGUGGCAGGCCAGGAUGCUUGUCAUGGAGGACCAGCACAACAGUGAGAUUGAAUCUCUACAAAAAGCCCUAGAUGUAGCUAGAGAAGACAACAGGAAACUUGCUAUGAGUCUGGAGCAAGCUCUCCAGACAAAUAAUCAUCUGCAAACAAAGCUAGAUCACAUUCAAGAGCAAUUGGAAAGCAAAGAACUUGAGCGACAGAAUUUGGAAACCUUCAAAGACCGGAUGACUGAAGAGUCCAAAGUGGAAGCAGAAUUGCAUGCUGAACGCAUAGAAGCUCUAAGAAAGCAGUUUCAAACCGAGAGAGAAACUGCAAAGAAAGUGGCACAACGGGAAGUGGCUGAGGUAUAGAGUCAUGAGAAAGGUUUCUCUUUUGGUGAAUGCCUCUUAGGAUAAGCAGCUCAAGGAUUUCAGAGAAUGGCUACAGUUGUUCUUUGACUCCUCUCGUCCCCCUUUGAUCAGCAGGCCAGAUGUAAUUAAGACCUCUCUGUAAAGCAACACACAAGAAAAAAGUUUCUGACAUAAUUCUCUGCCCAACAAAGUUGUGCCUUGAUGGGAGAUUUUCCAUCAGAGAGUGAUAAGCAAGAGGGAUAGAGGAAUAAGGAGACUGCCAUUUGAUAGACAGAAGAGAAAUCAUCUGUCUUCUCAGUUCACUUAACUGGCAUCUAUUCUGCAUCUACCAUUUCCUGAGAGGCACAGAGAAAACAGUAGAAGAUAUGGUCCAUGCCCUAUUGUGUGCCAAAUGACCCUUGUUUGGGAUCUCCACUCUGGACAUGAGACAUAUAGGGAAAACAUCAGAGAACUUUCUUGGGUAGCAGAGGCUGUGUACAACUUUGAAGGAAUUCAAAGUAAGAGAAAGUUUAUUUUAGGCCAUUUGGUUGAUAGAAGAAGGGAAACUUAAUGAGAGUACAGGAUUGAGACUAGCAGAAAUGGCAGGGCUGGACACCUUACGAAACAGCACAGGCCAAGCUUACAAAAAUGAACAGGACAUGUGAGCAGAUGAAAAGUAGCCUCUCUUGAUUAGAGCAGAGACUUUGGAAAAUGUUAGAGAGAGAGUGUUAGCUUAAAUGGGACCACCUGAUAGAUGGCCUUAGUUAUAGAAAUGUUGGAUGUGAACUCUUAGGUAGAAACGGAGCACUAUGGGUUUCUGAGCAGGGGUGGUAUGAUAGAAGCAUAAGUUUAGGAAGGUGAAUGUAACAGCAGAGGACAGUAGAGGAUAAUGAAGAGAAACUGGAGGCAUGGAGGCUUGAGAAAACUAUAACAGUUAAUUUGAGUAUUAGAUGAUUAGGGCCAAGCAAAGUAGUUCAGUUGAAAAUAGAAAACAAUUAAGUUAGAAAGCCCAUUUUAAUAGAAAAAUCAUCAAACAGGCCAGGCGAGGUGGCUCAUGCUUGUAAUCCCAGCACUUUGGGAGGCUGAGGCAGGUGGAUCACCUGAGGUCAGAAGUUUGAGACCAGCCUGGCCAACAUGGUGAAACUCCAUCUCCACUAAAAAUACAAAAACUAGCUGGGCGUGGUGGCGGGCACCUGUAAUCCCAGCUAUUCAGGUGGCUGAGGCACAAAAAUCACUUGAACCCGGGAGGUGGAGCUUGCAGUGAGCUGAGACAGCGCCACUGCACUCCAGCCUGGGCGACAGAGUAAGACUCCGUCUCAAAAAAAAAAAAAAAGAAAGAAAAAAAUGAUCAAACAGACAUUAAAUGUUGUAUCCUGGAGAGGGAGGGAUUAAAAUGAUUCCUUAGUUGGCAUAGCUGGUCUGUGUUUCACCAAAUUUGUUACAUUUAGUAGUUGCAAUUGACAGACCAUUCACAGAAUCAAACUCAAAUAAUGGUAUAUAAAUAUAAAACAAUUUUGUGAAUUGUAAAGCACUAUAUAAAUACAAAUGUUAUAAAAAGCAAAUUCUGCUUUUUAUAGAAGAGUUAGGGAACAUAAAGGUGUGCUAAAUGUAGAAAUGUACCUUUAGUCGGAGAUCAUUGUUAAGAAUACUUACAGCCGGGCGCAGUGGCUCACACCUGUAAUCCCAGCGCUUUGGGAGGCUGAGGUGGGGGGUGGAUCACGAGGUCAGGAGAUAGAGACCAUCCUGGCUAACAUGGUGAAACCCUGUCUCUACUAAAAAUACAAAAAAUUAGCCGGGCGUGGUGGUGGGUGCCUGUAAUCCCAGCUGCUCGGGAGGCUGAGGCAGGAGAGUGGCAUGAACCCGGGAGGCGGAGCUUGCAGUGAGCUGAGAUCACGCCACUGCACCCUAGCCUGGGCUACAGAGCACGACUCUGUCUC
rnacentral:sRNA from 1 species